ACAAAGUAAAAUAUGUUAGUUAUGUAAACAUCAAUGAAAUUUGAAUGAGGUGGACCCAACUGAUGUUUGCACCACCAUCGAGGAACCUGUGUUGUACCUUCCAGAGAAACUGAUCACAUCAUAUUAAUAUAUCCUUUAAAGAAUGACAUGCAAAAAAUAAAAGACUUUUCUCAUCAGCCUGGUGACAUGUGGGAGAGAUUCUUGCAGCAAAGAACUGAGCACAAUAUCCAUUCAACAACAAGCAAGGAAGUGAGGUCCUCCCUCCAGUGGCCCUCCAGGAUCUGAAUCCUGCCAAUGACCACAUAAGUGAACUUGGAAGUGGAUUCUUCCACAGUUGAGACUUCAGUUUGCAGAUCUGUGCCAAUUCUCAGACCUAGAAGCCAUUGACCCAUCAAAACAGAGGCCAGUCCUCUAGGAUAAAGGACAG